rnacentral:rRNA from 1 species
AGAGCGAACGCUGGCGGCAGGCCUAAUACAUGCAAGUCGAACGGACCCCUCGGGGUUAGUGGCGGACGGGUGAGUAACACGUGGGAACGUGCCCUUUGGUUCAGAACAACUCAGGGAAACUUGAGCUAAUACUGAAUGUGCCCUUCGGGGGAAAGAUUUAUCGCCAUUGGAGCGGCCCGCGUCUGAUUAGCUAGUUGGUAGGGUAAAGGCCUACCAAGGCUACGAUCAGUAGCUGGUCUGAGAGGAUGAUCAGCCACACUGGGACUGAGACACGGCCCAGACUCCUACGGGAGGCAGCAGUAGGGAAUCUUGCGCAAUGGGCGAAAGCCUGACGCAGCCAUGCCGCGUGAAUGAUGAAGGUCUUAGGAUUGUAAAAUUCUUUCAGCGGGGACGAUAAUGACGGUACCCGCAGAAGAAGCCCCGGCUAACUUCGUGCCAGCAGCCGC